rnacentral:rRNA from 1 species
AGUGAACGCUGGCGGUAGGCCUAACACAUGCAAGUCGAACGGCAGCACAGUAAGAGCUUGCUCUUACGGGUGGCGAGUGGCGGACGGGUGAGGAAUACAUCGGAAUCUACUUUUUCGUGGGGGAUAACGUAGGGAAACUUACGCUAAUACCGCAUACGACCUACGGGUGAAAGCAGGGGAUCUUCGGACCUUGCGCGAUUGAAUGAGCCGAUGUCGGAUUAGCUAGUUGGCGGGGUAAAGGCCCACCAAGGCGGCGAUCCGUAGCUGGUCUGAGAGGAUGAUCAGCCACACUGGAACUUAGACACGGUCCAGACUCCUACGGGAGGCAGCAGUGGGGAAUAUUGGACAAUGGGCGCAAGCCUGAUCCAGCCAUACCGCGUGGGUGAAGAAGGCCUUCGGGUUGUAAAGCCCUUUUGUUGGGAAAGAAAAGCAGCAGGUUAAUACCCCGCUGUUCUGACGGUACCCAAAGAAUAAGCACCGGCUAACUUCGUG